GGGACACGUGGUAUCCUGUCUGAAUAUGGGGGGACCAUCCUCCAAGGCUAAAUACUCCUGACUGACCGAUAGUGAACCAGUACCGUGAGGGAAAGGCGAAAAGAACCCCGGCGAGGGGAGUGAAAAAGAACCUGAAACCGUGUACGUACAAGCAGUGGGAGCACCUUCGGGUGUGACUGCGUACCUUUUGUAUAAUGGGUCAGCGACUUAUAUUCUGUAGCAAGGUUAACCGUAUAGGGGAGCCGCAGGGAAACCGAGUCUUAACUGGGCGUUAAGUUGCAGGGUAUAGACCCGAAACCCGGUGAUCUAGCCAUGGGCAGGUUGAAGGUUGGGUAACACUAACUGGAGGACCGAACCGACUAAUGUUGAAAAAUUAGCGGAUGACUUGUGGCUGGGGGUGAAAGGCCAAUCAAACCGGGAGAUAGCUGGUUCUCCCCGAAAGCUAUUUAGGUAGCGCCUCGUGAAUUCAUCUUCGGGGGUAGAGCACUGUUUCGGCUAGGGGGUCAUCCCGACUUACCAACCCGAUGCAAACUACGAAUACCGAAGAAUGUUAUCACGGGAGACACACGGCGGGUGCUAACGUCCGUCGUGAAGAGGGAAACAACCCAGACCGCCAGCUAAGGUCCCAAAGUCAUGGUUAAGUGGGAAACGAUGUGGGAAGGCACAGACAGCCAGGAUGUUGGCUUAGAAGCAGCCAUCAUUUAAAGAAAGCGUAAUAGCUCACUGGUCGAGUCGGCCUGCGCGGAAGAUGUAACGGGGCUAAACCAUGCACCGAAGCUGCGGCAGCGACACUAUGUGUUGUUGGGUAGGGGAGCGUUCUGUAAGCCUGCGAAGGUGUGCUGUGAGGCAUGCUGGAGGUAUCAGAAGUGCGAAUGCUGACAUAAGUAACGAUAAAGCGGGUGAAAAGCCCGCUCGCCGGAAGACCAAGGGUUCCUGUCCAACGUU
rnacentral:rRNA from 1 species